AGAGUUUGAUCCUGGCUCAGGACGAACGCUGGCGGCGUGCUUAACACAUGCAAGUCGAACGGUAAGGCCCUUUUGGGGGUACACGAGUGGCGAACGGGUGAGUAACGCGUGAGUAACCUGCCCUUCACUUCGGGAUAACAGUUGGAAACGGCUGCUAAUACUGGAUAUUCAGGCAUGAUCGCAUGGUUGUGUUUGGAAAGCUUUGGUGGUGGGGGAUGGACUCGCGUCCUAUCAGCUUGUUGGUGGGGUGAUGGCCUACCAAGGCUUCGACGGGUAGCCGGCCUGAGAGGGCGACCGGCCACAUUGGGACUGAGAUACGGCCCAGACUCCUACGGGAGGCAGCAGUGGGGAAUAUUGCACAAUGGGCGGAAGCCUGAUGCAGCAACGCCGCGUGCGGGAUGACGGCCUUCGGGUUGUAAACCGCUUUCGCCUAUGACGAAGCUUUUGUGACGGUAGUAGGAGAAGAAGCACCGGCUAACUACGUGCCAGCAGCCGCGGUGAUACGUAGGGUGCGAGCGUUGUCCGGAUUUAUUGGGCGUAAAGAGCUUGUAGGCGGUUGGUCGCGUCGAUAGUGCAAACUCAGGGCUUAACUCUGAGCCUGCUGUCGAUACGGGCUGACUUGAGGGAUGUAGGGGAGAAUGGAAUUCCCGGUGGAGCGGUGGAAUGCGCAGAUAUCGGGAGGAACACCGGUGGCGAAGGCGGUUCUCUGGACAUUUCCUGACGCUGAGAAGCGAAAGCGUGGGGAGCAAACAGGCUUAGAUACCCUGGUAGUCCACGCUGUAAACGGUGGGUACUAGGUGUGGGGGACAUUCCACGUUCUCUGUGCCGUAGCUAACGCAUUAAGUACCCCGCCUGGGGAGUACGGUCGCAAGGCUAAAACUCAAAGGAAUUGACGGGGCCCCGCACAAGCGGCGGAGCAUGCGGAUUAAUUCGAUGCAACGCGAAGAACCUUACCUGGGUUUGACAUAUACCGGAAGCGUUCAGAGAUGGGCGUGCCGUAAGGUCGGUAUACAGGUGGUGCAUGGCUGUCGUCAGCUCGUGUCGUGAGAUGUUGGGUUAAGUCCCGCAACGAGCGCAACCCUCGU
rnacentral:rRNA from 1 species